rnacentral:tRNA from 1 species
GCAUUCCUAGCUCAGUCGGUAGAGCGCGCGGCUUUUAACCGUGUGGUCGUGGGUUCGAUCCCCACGGAGUGCG